rnacentral:rRNA from 1 species
ACGGAGGUUGCGAGCGUUGUUCGGAAUAACUGGGCGUAAAGGGAGCGCAGGCGGUCUGGCAAGUCUAAAGUGAAAGCCCGGGGCUUAACCUCGGAAGUGCUUUGGAUACUACUUGACUAGAGUUCGUGAGAGGAAAGCGGAAUUCCAGGUGUAGCGGUGAAAUGCGUAGAUAUCUGGAGGAACACCGGUGGCGAAAGCGGCUUUCUGGCGCGAUACUGACGCUGAGGCUCGAAAGCAUGGGGAGCGAACAG